rnacentral:rRNA from 1 species
GAUGAACGCUGGCGGCGUGCCUAAUACACGCAAGUCGAGCGAAUGGAUUAAGAGCUUGCUCUUAUGAAGUUAGCGGCGGACGGGUGAGUAACACGUGGGUAACCUGCCCAUAAGACUGGGAUAACUCCGGGAAACCGGGGCUAAUACCGGAUAACAUUUUGAACCGCAUGGUUCGAAAUUGAAAGGCGGCUUCGGCUGUCACUUAUGGAUGGACCCGCGUCGCAUUAGCUAGUUGGUGAGGUAACGGCUCACCAAGGCAACGAUGCGUAGCCGGCCGGAGAGGGUGAUCGGCCACACUGGGACUGAGACACGGCCCAGACUCCUACGGGAGGCAGCAGUAGGGAAUCUUCCGCAAUGGACGAAAGUCUGACGGAGCAACGCCGCGUGAGUGAUGAAGGCUUUCGGGUCGUAAAACUCUGUUGUUAGGGAAGAACAAGUGCUAGUUGAAUAAGCUGGCACCUUGACGGUACCUAACCAGAAAGCCACGGCUAACUACGUGCCAGCAGUCGCCGUAA